CCUUAUGACCUUUCAGGAGAAUACAAACUGAACAUAUGGAGAUGUAGCUGAGCAGGGCAAAAGAAAGGGGGGUGCUGGCUUGUUUGAUAAACACUCAAUAUCAUCCACACAGAAGUGAAAGUUUCAAAUAACAAACACGCAAAUUGCAGAGAACCAGUCGAGCGUGGCUUCAAUAAAUUAAGUGUUGUAAAUGAGAGAUAAAGCCCACUGCAUGCCCUGGUGGAGGAAUAUGAACUACACAAGUCAAAGUCAAGUGGCUAUUCCGGAUACUCGCCGUUUCGCAGACAAAGCUUCAUCAGCCUCCUAAGCAUCAUUAAUACUGGUACCUCAUUCCUAGAGCUAAAUAAAGCCUUACAGUAUUAUCCGGCAUGAUUGGCUGAGGCACACCCAGGAGGAUUGGUCGCCACAGCAGCGGGCCUGGUCGCAGAGGCCAGAGGUGGUGGCAGGCCCGGCCCGCCCAUAGAGGCAAGGCCCAGGAGGGGGGAAAGAAAGUGUGGGGGCAGAAGUGGCAUUGGGGAGGAGAGGUGGCUGGGCCCGGAAAUGGAGACUGUGACAGAACACGGGGUAACCACUGGCCCCAAGGAGCACACAGAUACUCUGUGAGGGGUUGGCUAGUCUUUAUAUAUACAAGGAUAGCAGGCAGGGGUCUGCAAAAAGAUGGGUCAUGAGGGAGGAAAGAGCCCCUUUAGGAGAAGGAGGCUGCCAUUGUGUGAAUUAGAGGAGGAAACAAGAUCUGUUAACUCAGGAAGGGAGAGAGAGAGAGAAAGAAAGAAAGAAAGAAAGAAAGAAAGAAAAGAAAAGAAGGGAGGGGAAAAGACAGAAGGGAAGAGUGAGUGGAGGAGAAGAGAGAAAUAAUGAAGGGCGAGAGAUGGGCCCAAGCCUGUCAGUGGCCUGAGGGGAGUGAGAAGCCAUGGCAUUGCCUAUUGGCAGCAAAGAAGGGCCCAGUCAAGCACUGCUGCAGUUUGGGGCUACCGAGGCCAUUAGCGGAGGGGUGGGGGUGGCAGGCAAGGGAUGGGACUGGGCCUGUCAGUGGCCUGAGGCGAUCGAGCGACCAUGGCAGCAGUGAAGAAGGACCCGAAUGGAGAAAUAAUUUUCAAAGACCACAGUAUGACAACACAAAAUCUCACACAAUGAGAACACAAAAGCAGCAGCCAACACUGUAACAGGCUGUAUAGUUGUCACCUUGAUGCAGAGAUAAGAACAUAAGAACAGCCCUGCUGGAUCAGACCCAAGGCCUAUCUGGUCCAGCAUCCUGUUUUGCACAGUGGCCCACCAGAUUUCUCUGAGAAGCCCACAGGCAAGAGGUGCCCACAGGCAUUGCCCUUUCUCCUGCUAUUGCUCCCCUGCAACUAGUAUUAAGAGGCACCUUUCCUCUGAGGCUGGAGGAGAAGAUUCAAUGGAACAGUGCACCAUCUACCACAGAGAGCCUUGUGAAUGGAAACUUCCUCCGUAAAUUGAAAUGAGAUAAACUGAAACCCCUUCCAUGUGAACGGAAAAAACUUUGGGAGUGCUCAGUCACAUAAGGGCCCGAUCUCCACAAUUCUUUCCUCUCCAAAAAUUAAAGAAGCACAUGAACCAAUCCUUCAUGCAAUUGGAUCUUCACAUGAAGGGCUCAGUUCACACUGCAGGCUCUCUGUGAGGGAGAAGGGAGGGACUUGUGCUUCUUUCCACCAUGUAAUUUCAGUACCACUCCUGGCUGAACAUAUGAACUGAGGCAAAGAGGCUUGAUGGUCAUUAAUUGUGAUGCUGCCAGUAAAACCUAAUUAUUUAUCAGUGUUUUAUUUCUGGAAACUGUGUGUGUGAAUUAUUGCUUCUCAAAGGUAUAGUACCUUGGACAUUUCUAUGAGCACCUAAUCAAGCUUGCAACUUUCUGACAUAAAAUGCUGAUGAGAAACCAGGUGUACAGGUGCAGUUUUGAUUUCUAGUCUCAUUCUUCUUGUCAUACAAUAUAUUCAUAUUUAUUUUGGAGGAAUUCAAAGAUGUACUUUAAGCUUUAAAAUAUUGCCAAUUGAGCUAUGCUAGUAAUUUUUAUAUUUGCUGGGUAUAUGAAGCAAUUCAUUUGUUGUCACCAACUUGACUUUGCAAUAACAGGGCAGCACAACGCUUUACAUUAUUGCAGAAAACUCUUCAGAACCAAUAAAUAAUGUAUUACUUCUUAAUUAUUUAAUAUUAUUUAGUAAAAAUUUUAUGCAUGCUGGAAUAUUAAUGUGCCAUAAACAAAUGUAAACAGUCCCAUUUUAAUU